rnacentral:rRNA from 1 species
CCUACGGGUGGCAGCAGUGGGGAAUAUUGGACAAUGGGCGAAAGCCUGAUCCAGCCAUGCCGCGUGUGUGAAGAAGGCCUUCGGGUUGUAAAGCACUUUCAGUGGGGAAGAAAGCCUUGGGGCUAAUACCCUCGAGGAAGGACAUCACCCACAGAAGAAGCACCGGCUAACUCCGUGCCAGCAGCCGCGGUAAUACGGAGGGUGCGAGCGUUAAUCGGAAUUACUGGGCGUAAAGCGCGCGUAGGCGGUCUGAUAAGCCGGUUGUGAAAGCCCCGGGCUCAACCUGGGAGCGGCAUCCGGAACUGUCAGGCUAGAGUGCAGGAGAGGAAGGUAGAAUUCCCGGUGUAGCGGUGAAAUGCGUAGAGAUCGGGAGGAAUACCAGUGGCGAAGGCGGCCUUCUGGACUGACACUGACGCUGAGGUGCGAAAGCGUGGGUAGCAAACAGGAUUAGAUACCCCAGUAGUC